rnacentral:sRNA from 1 species
ACCGGACCAGGGGAAAGGCGAGCAGUGCCAAUCUACAGCGAAGAAAGUCUCGUUCGGUAAAAGCGAGAGGGGAGAGCCUGAGCAUGCAGAGUGUGCAGAGCACGAGGUUUUGUCUCCGAAAGCGGUGCCUUUGCCUGACCUUCCUGCUUCUCCAUCUCCUGGGACAGGUCGCUGCGACCCAGCGCUGCCCUCCCCAGUGCCCGGGCCAGUGCCCCGCGACGCCACCGACCUGCGCCCCCGGGGUGCGCGCGGUGCUGGACGGCUGCUCAUGCUGUCUGGUGUGUGCCCGCCAGCGUGGCGAGAGCUGCUCAGAUCUGGAGCCAUGCGACGAGAGCAGUGGCCUCUACUGUGACCGCAGCGCGGACCCCAGCAACCAGACUGGCAUCUGCAUGGGUAAUCCUGCCCCCUCUGCUGUUUGACCUCUUCUCCUGCAGCUAAGUGAAGCUGCUUCCUCCAUUCCCUUUUUUAUUCCCCUUCCCAGAGGGCGAUAAGCAAAUAAUAAUAAUGCAAUAAGUGACAUGUAUAGAGCACUUACUGUGUGUCA